CUUGAGCCAACUCCAGAGCCUGCUCCAAGAUGCUGGCAGUUCUGUUCACAGCGACAUUGUUGUUCCUGAGCUCAGCUCAGAGUCCCAGUGAAGGGCAUCUGUAAGCCUGAAACACUGUGAUCUGAAUUCACACUUCAACAUUUACUUUAUUUCUAGAGGUCUCCAAUGAGGAUCCUGCUGCUGUCCCUUCAGACACCCAGGACCAAAGCCAAAGCCAAGUCUCAGAGACCUCUCCUGCCAAUGAGGUUGAAAACAAUGACCCAUAGAAGAAAUCCCAGGCAAAAGAGGGAGCAGUGUCCUCUGCUGCUGAUGGGAAUGAAGACAACAAUCCACAGCAGGAAACACUGGCAGGAGGAGUUCAAGACCAAUCUUCCCCUGCUGCUGAAAACCCACAAGGACCAGAACAGCAAGGAGGCCCCCAGCCUACCUCUUCUGACCCUGAGAUUUACUGUAAACCUGCUGUUGAACGUGUGCCCAACAAGAGAAGGCAUUCUCUCCCUACUGUCCUAAAACUAAGAGUACGCUUUUCUAGAGGAUGGGAAGUGACAGUCUAAUCAGCUUCAUAGAGGUAAUCUCAAGUCCUUGUUUAGGGAUCUCUCCUCUUCAGCCUGUAAAAUCUGCCUCACUCAUACCAUUGAUGCUCACAUCCAUUGUCUCUAAGUGAUACCUUGGAGACAACUCUGACCUUGUCCAGAUGUUUAAUACCUUCUUCUUAAAUUAUACAUUUGGGCUGGCUUCAGAUAUUCACCCAGCCGGGGUGCAUUUCAGUGAUCACAUUUGAAAAUAUAUCCUGGAACAUUUUAAAUCAGAACUCAAGGAUGAACAAGCUAAGCCCCAUCAUUCAGUUUCUCUUCAUGAGAAAUAAAUUAAUUCUAUUGUCUGCUCUGUGGCUGUCAAAAGAGAGUGUCUGAGAAGCCUAGGUUCCUCAGAAAAAGAGGCCAAUGAACCAUUGUUGUCUGUCUACCUGGCCGCAAUAAAAUUUUCAGCUUUCGA